rnacentral:rRNA from 1 species
GAAUCUUAGACAAUGGGCGCAAGCCUGAUCUAGCCAUGCCGCGUGAGUGAUGAAGGCCUUAGGGUUGUAAAGUCCUUUCGCUGGGGAAGAUAAUGACGGUACCCAGUAAAGAAGCCCCGGCUAACUCCGUGCCAGCAGCCGCGGUAAUACGGAGGGGGCUAGCGUGGUUCGGAAUUACUGGGCGUAAAGCGCACGUAGGCGGAUUGGAAAGUUGGGGGUGAAAUCCCAGGGCUCAACCCUGGAACUGCCUUCAAGACUCCCAGUCUAGAGUUCGAGAGAGGUGAGUGGAAUUCCGAGUGUAGAGGUGAAAUUCGUAGAUAUUCGGAGGAACACCAGUGGCGAAGGCGGCUCACUGGCUCGAUACUGACGCUGAGGUGCGAAAGCGUGGGGAGCAAACAGG